rnacentral:rRNA from 1 species
AUUGAACGCUGGCGGCAGGCCUACCCCAUGCAAGUCGAGCGGAGCGGCGGACGGUUGAGUAAUGCCUCGGACUCUGCCUGGUAGAGGGGGAUAACGUCCGGAAACGGGCGCUAAUACCGCAUACUAUCUGAUGCGCCUAGGUCGGACUAGCUAGUUGGUGGGGUAAAGGCCUACCAAGGCGACGAUCCGUAACUGGUCUGAGAGGAUGAUCAGUCACGCUGGAACUGAGACACGGUCCCGACGCCUACGUGAGGCAGCAGUGGGGAAUAUUGGACGAUCGGCGAAAGCCUGGUCCAGCCAUGCCGGGUGUGUGAAGAAGGUCUUCGGAUUGUAAAUCGCUUUAAGUUGGGAGGCGUUACCAACAGAAUAAGCACCGGCUAGCUUCGUGCCAGCCGCCGCGGUAAUGC